UACGGAGGGUGCAAGCGUUGUUCGGAAUUAUUGGGGCGUAAAGGGCAGGUAGGGUGGUCUUGAAAGUCUGCUGUGAAAUCCCCGACGCUUAACUUGGGAAGUGCGGCAGAUACUCCCAAGACUAGAGUACUGGAGGGGUUCGUGGAAUCCCGGUGUAGCGGUGAAAUGCGUAGAUAUCGGGAGGAACACCAGAGGCGAAGGCGGCGAACUGGACAGUAA
rnacentral:rRNA from 1 species